AUUUCGUUUCCGUAUUUAAUUUGAUUUGAGGCGCAAAAAUCAAAAAACUCUUUGUCGUCACUCAUCAGUCUGGAAAUUAU
rnacentral:miRNA from 1 species